AGGGUUUGAUCAUGGCUCAGAGUGAACGCUGGCGGCGUGCUUAACACAUGCAAGUCGAACGAGAACGGGUUAUAGCUUGCUAUAAUUGUCAGCUAAGUGGCGCACGGGUGAGUAAUGUAUAGGUAAUAUGCCUCUUACUAAGGGAUAACAAAUGGAAACGUUUGCUAAUACCUUAUACUCCUUAUUAACAGAAGUUAAUAAGGGAAAGAUUUAUUGGUAAGAGAUUAGCCUGUAUUGUAUCAGUUAGUUGGUGGGGUAAUGGCUUACCAAGACUAUGACACAUAACUGGUUUGAGAGGAUGAUCAGUCACACUGGAACUGAGACACGGUCCAGACUCCUACGGGAGGCAGCAGUGGGGAAUAUUGCACAAUGGACGAAAGUCUGAUGCAGCAACGCCGCGUGGAGGAUGACACAUUUCGGUGCGUAAACUCCUUUUAUAUGAGAAGAUAAUGACGGUAUUAUAUGAAUAAGCACCGGCUAACUCCGUGCCAGCCGCCGCGGUAAUAC
rnacentral:rRNA from 1 species